AGAAGCCACCUAUUCAUGAGAUGUACAUUGCGUCACAAUAUUGCAACUGCAUAUUCUGCUUCAUGCAUUCUCAAUUGGAGCUGAUGAACUUUGCCCACUAAAGUCAACAUUGCUGUCUAAAGUAAAUUUGACGACCUCAUAAUGAUGGCAAAGUUGUUUCCGCCUAAUAAUUUGCCUACUUUAGCAAUGUCAUCGUAUUACCUGGCCGCUACAGUGUAAUUUAGACCAAACAGUCACUAGCCCCUGUUCAGAAUGACUGGUCACGACUCGACUUUUGGGCGCAACUAUGGCUGAGGCGUCUGUAGAACUUUGAUAACAAUGGCAUGAGGCAACCGAUUGACAGAGGUGCAACCCUUGAAUAAAAACAAAUUCUAUUCAUUCUAAUGACAUUCUUUGUGUUCUAUUUUUAUGGAACCAGCACUGUGUUUGAAGAAUAUCUCUGAAAUAAUUGUUGUGAAGCAAAUAAUUUAAUGUAUUACUGCAAUAUGUAACCUUCUGGGUGACCCAACUAGAGUUGCAAAGGGUCGGAAACUUUCAUGAAAUUUUCCAUGGGAACUUAAGCCUGGGAAUUUUGAUUACCCUCUGCAUGCACAGUGCAUUCUUCCAUCACAUGUGCAGAUUCUCAAGAUCUUGCACACUAAUGAGAUGCUAUUGAGCCCACACUUCUACACGGUCUGAGCCAAGGACUACAUGCUUUCUGGAAAAUUGCACGGGCACCAUCUGAUGUGUGGAGACCUUUCACUGCAGCAAAUGUAGAAGGAGAGGCUGUGUACAUUUGCGAGUACUGUGUCAAAUCAUAUGUGAAGAAUGCAACAAAUAUGCAGAAUCAUCUGGCCAAGUGCAUAAAGUUCCCUCAGCGCUCACAGCAAGCAAGCUCUGACAAAAGUCCCUAUACUUCUAUUUGAGGUGAAAAUGAUGAAUGACACCUUAUCGAUAGCAACAGCUCAUGGUCCUCCUGGAAUCAGAAGGUUUUUUGACUCAAUGGAGGAAUGUAGUCAAGGAAAUGCUGAUGAAUGUCUUGCUUAAGCUGUGUAUGCAACUGGUUCACCUCUGCUCACAGGCAAUGUGUAUUGGAAGAUAUUUCUGAAUUUUCUUCGCCCAGCAUACACCCCUCCAACCAGAGAUGCUUAAUCUACUCAUUUACUGGUUGCAGAGUUCAAGUGAAGGUCAAGCAAAUCAUAGAGAAAGCAGACUGUAUUGCAGUCAUCUCUGAUGGUUGGUCGAAUGUUCGUGGGCAAGGAAUAAUUAACUACAUAUCCACCCCUCAACCAGUAUUCUACAAGAGCACAGACACACAAGGGGCAAGAUGCACCGGUCUCUACAUUGCAGAUGAGCUGAAGGCAGUCAUCAAUGACCUUGGACCACAGAAGGCAUUUGAACUGGUGACGGACAAUGCUGCGAACAUGAAGGCUGCUUGGUCUAAAGUGGUGUCCUACCCUCCCAUCACACCCAUUGACUUUGCUGCUCAUGCAUUGAAUCUGCUCCUCAAGGACAUCAUGACACUGAAAACAAUGGAUACACUCUACAAGAGAGCCAACCACAUUGAUGCUGCCCAGCAACACACGUUGGGGUGGUGUUGUAAUCAUGUUUGACAGUCUCCUGGAGGGGAAGGAGUCACUCCAAGAAAUGGCCAUAUCACAGUCUGCCGAUAUGGACAGCCCCAUCAAGAGGAUCCUCCUGGAUGAUGUAUUUUGGGAGAGAGAGGUAAGCAGCCUGAAACUCCUGAAACCUAUAGCAGUAGCCAUUGCACGGCUUGAGGGAGACAAUGCCAUCCUGUCUGAUGUUCAGACUCUGCUUGCAGAUGUAAGAUAAAUCCGUACUGCCCUGCCCACUUCACUGUUGCUCCAAGCAGAGGAAACUGCUGUUCUGAAAUACAUCAAAAAGUGUGAAGACUUAAGCCUGAUACCCAUAGAUGCCGCAGCGUACAUGUUGGACCCCAAGUAUCCUGGCAAGAGCAUCCUGUCUGGUGCAGAGAUCAAGGCCUAUGGUGUCAUCACUACCGGGUCUCGCCACCUUGGCCCGAAUGAGGGAAAGGUUCUUGGCAAUCUGGCGAAGUACACUUCCAAGCAAGGGCUUUGGGAUGGAGAUGCAAUAUGCUAGUUGUGCCAACGGAUCUCAUCAGCCACCUGGUGGAAGGGACUUUUGUGGAUCUGAGGCUCUUUCCCCUGUUGCCUCCAUCAUCCUCCAAAUCCCACCAACAUCAGUCGCCUCAGAGCGCAACUGGUUCUUGUUUUGGAACACACACCAAAGCACGCAACAGGUUGACCAAUACAAAGGUUGAAAAAUGGGUGGCUAUCCGGGCAAAUUUGAGGCUUUUUGAGCCUGACAACGAGACAUCCUCAACAGGGUUGGAAAGUGACAGUGAAGAUGCGGCCUCAGAAUCUGAUGUUCAAAAGGUGGACAUUGAGGAGGUCCAAGGAGAAGACAUUGAAGCCUGAGAGGAAGACAACCAAAGCUUUAGUUUCUAGACUAUCAUUUUACAGAUGUAUGUUGAAAACAUUUUUGGGAGAUGUAAUUGAGCAUUGGGGAUCAUUCAAUAUUUAUUUAUUUUGUUCAGUGAAAUCAUCCCAUGUGAAGAGUAAACUCAUUAAAGUUCAAUUUGUAACUCAA